UCCAUGGUAGCUCAGAUGGUAAAGCGUCUGCCUGCAACGUGGGAGACCCAGGUUCGAUCCCUGGGUCGGGAG
rfam:TPA: Bos taurus chromosome 26, whole genome shotgun sequence.